GACGAACGCUGGCGGCGUGCUUAACACAUGCAAGUCGAGCGGUAAGGCCCUUUCGGGGGUACGACGAGCGGCGAACGGGUGAGUAACACGUGGGUGACCUGCCCUCCAGCUCUGGGAGUAAGCCUGGGAAACCGGGUCUAAUACUGGAUAUGACUCCAUGACGCAUGUUGUGGGGUGGAAAGCCUUGUGCGGCUGAGGAUGGGCCCGCGGCCUAUCAGCUUGUUGGUGGGGUGAUGGCCUACCAAGGCGACGACGGUAGCCGGCCUGAGAGGGCGACCGGCCACACUGGGACUGAGACACGGCCCAGACUCCUACGGGAGGCAGCAGUGGGGAAUCUUGCGCAAUGGGCGAAAGCCUGACGCAGCGACGCCGCGUGAGGGAUGACGGCCU
rnacentral:rRNA from 1 species